UACGGAGGAUCCAAGCGUUAUCCGGAAUCAUUGGGCUUAAAGGGUCCGUAGGCGGUUUAGUAAGUCAGUGGUGAAAGCCCAUCGCUCAACGGUGGAACGGCCAUUGAUACUGCUGAACUUGAAUUAUUAGGAAGUAACUAGAAUAUGUAGUGUAGCGGUGAAAUGCUUAGAGAUUACAUGGAAUACCAAUUGCGAAGGCGGGUUACUGCUAAUGGAUUGACGCUGAUGGACGAAAGCGUGGGUAGCGAACAGG
rnacentral:rRNA from 1 species